rnacentral:rRNA from 1 species
AUACGAAGGGGGCUAGCGUUGUUCGGAAUUACUGGGCGUAAAGCGCGCGUAGGCGGACUGAUCAGUUGGGGGUGAAAUCCCAGGGCCUAACCCUGGAACUGCCUCCAAUACUGUCAGUCUUGAGUUCGGGAGAGGUGAGUGGAAUUCCUAGUGUAGAGGUGAAAUUCGUAGAUAUUAGGAAGAACACCAGUGGCGAAGGCGACUUCCUGGACCAAUACUGACGCUGAGGUGCGAAAGCGAGGGGAGCAAACAGGAUUAGAAACCCUAGUAGUCC